rnacentral:tRNA from 1 species
UGUUCUGUGGUGAAGUUGAUUAACGCAUCCUGUCUAGCAAAUUGGGAAGACGUGGAUUAGAAUCCCACCAGAACUG